rnacentral:rRNA from 1 species
GACGAACGCUGGCGGCGUGCUUAACACAUGCAAGUCGAACGGAAAGGCCCCAGCUUGCUGGAGUACUCGAGUGGCGAACGGGUGAGUAACACGUGGGUAAUCUGCCCUGCACUCUGGGAUAAGCCUGGGAAACUGGGUCUAAUACUGGAUAUGACCUUUCUCCUUAUGGGGUUUGGUGGAAAGUUUUUCGGUGUAGGAUGAGCCCGCGGCCUAUCAGCUUGUUGGUGGGGUGAUGGACUACCAAGGCGACGACGGGUAGCCGGCCUGAGAGGGUGAUCGGCCACAUUGGGACUGAGAUACGGCCCAGACUCCUACGGUAGGCAGCAGUGGGGAAUAUUGCACAAUGGGCGGAAGCUUGAUGCAGCGACGCCGCGUGAGGGAUGACGUCCUUCGGGUUGUAAACCUCUUUCAGCAGGGACGAAGCGUAAGUGACGGUACCUGCAGAAGAAGCACCGGCUAAUUAUGUG